AAUGGUAUUUAUUCAUACAGUUUUAAACAUUAAGAAAUUGUGUAUAUAUUGAAAUUAAUGAAAUAAGCAACAAUUUGACAAUUCUGUUAAAAUUGUGUCAAGUAAAAGACCUAACAUAUGUUCAGCAGUUAUACAGGUGUCGACAUUAAUUUUUAGAGGAUUCCAAGGACUAGCUACAAAUUUGUUGAAAUGAAUUUCUUUGAAGGUGAUGAUUAUUGGCCACGCCCAUGCCACAGAGGCCAUGCAAGCUAACCAGCUGCCUUGUUGACCUUUGCCUACAUCAUUUGGCAAUCCACUUGGUAAAUCAGGACAUUAACUGUCAGGCCUUUUUGCCGAAUGUGUCGCACACACACUCACACACACACACACACACACACACACACAUUAACGUCUUCCCGUCAACCAACCCAGAGUCUUACACACAUGUCACUUUUGG